rnacentral:misc_RNA from 1 species
GUGAAUCAUCGAAUCUUUGAACGCAAAUUGCACUCUCCGGUUUUCUGGGAGAGAAUGCUUGUUUGAGGGCCAGUCUAAAAAAAAUCGACAUUGUUGCUGUUUCGUGGUGGUGUCCGUCGGAAAUCGGGUCAUCUUACAUUUUUUGGUUUUAAGCGUCUCAAAAUUUUCUUUUUGGUUGCAUGAACGUAUCUACGAUUUAUUUCCUUACACGCUUAAGGUAUCGAUUUUUAUUAGACGUGACUAUCAUAUCGGAUCGCGCCUAUAAUCUUUCAUUAACUGACCUCAGAUAGGUAAGAGUAA